UACGUAGGGCGCAAGCGUUGUCCGGAAUUAUUGGGCGUAAAGAGCUCGUAGGUGGUUUGUCGCGUCUGCCGUGAAAACCCGAGGCUUAACCCCGGGCCUGCAGUGGGUACGGGCAGACUAGAGUGCGGUAGGGGAGACUGGAAUUCCUGGUGUAGCGGUGAAAUGCGCAGAUAUCAGGAAGAACACCCGUGGCUAAGGCGGCUCUCUAGUACGGUACUGACGCUGAGACGCGAAAGCGUGGGGAGCGAACAGG
rnacentral:rRNA from 1 species